rnacentral:lncRNA from 10 species
UUUUUUAGGCAUAAAACAAAUGCAAUUUCUGAAUUAUUUUGGAGUUAACUGGAGGUUUAUCUUACUUUGAAUCAGAACCUACUCUUCCAGUCACUAAGAAAAGAGAACUGUGAGAAUCUCCUAAGUGUACUUACAUCCUGUGAUCACCUGUGCUGACCACCCCUUCUGUUGAUUAUCCAUCAUGUGGCCUAGGCCCUGAAGUCUCUUCUUUUCUCUUACAAGAAUGCAGACUCUGGAUCCCAAAGGCCCUGUCUGAAUUCUUGCUGUGACAUUUAUUAGCUCCGUCACC